rnacentral:rRNA from 1 species
AACCGGAUUAGAUACCCUGGUAGUCCACGCCCUAAACGAUGUCUACUAGUUGUCGGGUUUUAAUUAACUUGGUAACGCAGCUAACGCGUGAAGUAGACCGCCUGGGGAGUACGGUCGCAAGAUCAAAACUCAAAGGAAUUGACGGGGACCCGCACAAGCGGUGGAUGAUGUGGAUUAAUUCGAUGCAACGCGAAAAACCUUACCUACCCUUGACAUGUACGGAAGACCGAAGAGAUUUGGUUGUGCUCGAAAGAAAACCGUAACACAGGUGCUGCAUGGCUGUCGUCAGCUCGUGUCGUGAGAUGUUGGGUUAAGUCCCGCAACGAGCGCAACCCUUGUCAUUAGUUGCUACGAAAGGGCACUCUAAUGAGACUGCCGGUGACAAACCGGAGGAAGGUGGGGAUGACGUCAAGUCCUCAUGGCCCUUAUGGGUAGGGCUUCACACGUCAUACAAUGGUACAUACAGAGCGCCGCCAACCCGCGAGGGGGAGCUAAUCGCAGAAAGUGUAUCGUAGUCCGGAUUGUAGUCUGCAACUCGACUACAUGAAGUUGGAAUCGCUAGUAAUCGCGGAUCAGCAUGUCGCGGUGAAUACGUUCCCGGGUCUUGUACACACCGCCCGUCACACCAUGGGAGCGGGUUUUACCAGAAGUAGGUAGCUUAACCGCAAGGAGGGCGCUUACCACGGUAGGAUUCGUGACUGGGGUGAAGUCGUAACAAGGUAGCCGUA